rnacentral:rRNA from 1 species
UACGGAGGGUGCAAGCGUUGUCCGGAUUCACUGGGCUUAAAGGGUGCGUAGGUGGCCCGGUAAGUCAGUGGUGAAAUCUCCGGGCUUAACUCGGAAACUGCCAUUGAUACUGUCUGUCUUGAAUACCGUGGAGGUCAGCGGAAUAUGUCAUGUAGCGGUGAAAUGCUUAGAUAUGACAUAGAACACCAAUUGCGAAGGCAGCUGGCUGCACGAAUACUGACACUGAUGCACGAAAGCGUGGGGAGCAAACAGG